UACGGGGGGGGCAAGCGUUUGUUCGGAAUUACUGGGCGUAAAGGGCGCGUAGGCGGCCUUCUAAGUCAGACGUGAAAUCCCUCGGCUCAACCGAGGAACUGCGUCUGAUACUGGAAGGCUUGAAUCCGGGAGAGGGAUGUGGAAUUCCAGGUGUAGCGGUGAAAUGCGUAGAUAUCUGGAGGAACACCGGUGGCGAAGGCGGCAUCCUGGACCGGUAUUGACGCUGAGGCGCGAAAGCUAGGGGAGCAAACGGGG
rnacentral:rRNA from 1 species